AUAUAGAUAGGGUGGGACUCAGUAGCAGGGGGCAAAAACCUCGCCCUUGCUCAGCAUCUGUCAUGGGCUUUUCCUGCACCACCACCUUCAACAUUUCUAAUAAGCCCCUCAAAGAAGGAAAGGGUGGAGAAGCACAUCAACUUUGAGAGACUAUGAAAGCCACCCCAAACAAUCCCUGUGCUAUCUCCCGAGUCUCCGUAAGCUACAGUGAAUAAUAAAGAACUUGAUAAGAGCUCACCCACGGACAUCAAUACCCAGGAGACAUUAAUACUCAGUUGGAUUAAGUUCAAAAGAACAUUUUGAACUUUAAGCUGUAUCAGCUCUACGAUGACUGUUUUCUUUAAUUUGAACCACAGCUUAUUUCAGCUAAAAAAAAGAAUAUGGCAGCCAUUCCCCAUUCAGAACGGCAUUUGGAAGAUUGUUUAACUUGAGAGAGAGCACAAGCUGGAGGAGUGGCUGGCAGAC